GAUGAACGCUGGCGGCGUGCCUAAUACAUGCAAGUCGAACGCUGGAACUCUAGCUUGCUAGAUUGAAGGAGUGGCGAACGGGUGAGUAAUACAUAAGCAACCUACCCACGAAGACUGGGAUAAUCUCUGGAAACGGGGACUAAUACCGGAUAGGUAAUCGGAAGGCAUCUUCUGAUUAUUAAUGGUUAAAAACACUGGUGGAUGGGCUUAUGGCGCAUUAGUUAGUUGGUGAGGUAACGGCCCACCAAGACGAUGAUGCGUAGCCGGCCUGAGAGGGUGAACGGCCACAUUGGGACUGAGACACGGCCCAGACUCCUACGGGAGGCAGCAGUAGGGAAUUUUAGGCACUGGGGGAAACCCUGACCGAGCAACGCCGCGUGAGUGAUGACGGCCUUCGGGUUGUAAAGCUCUGUUGUAAGGGAAGAACGGUAGAUAGAGAAUAUCUAAAUGACGGUACCUUACCAGAAAGCCACGGCUAACUACGUG
rnacentral:rRNA from 1 species